AUGGGUGUGGUGGGGAAGUUGUCUUCCUUGCAAUCCACAGAGUCCUUUUUGUGGAAAAGCCAACAUUUCUCUCUCUGAUGCUGUUUUCUUCACAAUGUCCUCAAUGUGCUGUGUGGAGACAGUUUUAAAGGGAAUUGGAGAAUUCCUCGGGUCAUGGACACGUUGAUUCAGCCGCUCAACAGAACACGGUGGCCUGGGUGGAUAGAGAGGUUACUAGUACCUGCCUCUCUGAGAAGUCAGUGACCAUGUCAACCUUCUAGGCUGAGCAGCAACACUUCAGAAAACUUCCCCAGCAAGAUUAGGAUUUCAGAAUGCUGUUCCCCUUUAAAGUGAAGCAGUACACAUUGUUCCUGACAUCUGAGAGGGACCAGAAAAAAAUCUUGAUUGAGGUGGCUCAUUGGCACAUUUCUAGGGACUCUUUGGUUUUGGAGGAAUGCUUCAAGAAUGUUAGUUGUGAGCCUCCUUUUCCCUUACCUCUGCAAUGAGGG